UACGGAGGGUGCAAGCGUUAUCCGGAUUCACUGGGUUUAAAGGGUGCGUAGGUGGGUUGAUAAGUCAGUGGUGAAAUCCCCAAGCUUAACUUGGGAACUGCCGUGGAUACUAUCAAUCUUGAAUAUCGUGGAGGUAAGCGGAAUAUGUCAUGUAGCGGUGAAAUGCUUAGAUAUGACAUAGAACACCAAUUGCGCAGGCAGCUUACUACACGAUCAUUGACGCUGAGGCACGAAAGCGUGGGGAGCAAACAGG
rnacentral:rRNA from 1 species